rnacentral:rRNA from 1 species
GGACCAGACUCCUACGGGAGGCAGCAGUGAGGAAUAUUGGUCAAUGGGCGCGAGCCUGAACCAGCCAAGUCGCGUGAGGGAUGACGGCCCUACGGGUUGUAAACCUCUUUUGUCGGGGAGCAAAUUCCGCCACGUGUGGCGGAGUCGAGAGUACCCGAAGAAAAAGCAUCGGCUAACUCCGUGCCAGCAGCCGCGGUAAUACGGAGGAUGCGAGCGUUAUCCGGAUUUAUUGGGUUUAAAGGGUGCGUAGGCGGACUGUCAAGUCAGCGGUAAAAUCGUGGAGCUCAACUCCAUCCAGCCGUUGAAACUGCGUUUCUUGAGUGGGCGAGAAGUAUGCGGAAUGCGUGGUGUAGCGGUGAAAUGCAUAGAUAUCACGCAGAACUCCGAUUGCGAAGGCAGCAUACCGGCGCCCAACUGACGCUGAAGCACGAAAGCGUGGGUAUCGAACAGGAUUAGAUACCCCAGUA